rnacentral:rRNA from 1 species
GACGAACGCUGGCGGCGUGCCUAAUACAUGCAAGUCGAACGCAUUUUCUUGCACCUUCGCUUGCUACACCGAAAGAAAAUGAGUGGCGAACGGUCGAGUAACACGUUGUUAACCGGCCCAUCAGCGGGGGAUAACACUUGGAAACAGGUACUAAUACCGCAUAAUUCCAUUUACCGCAUGGGAGAUGGAUGAAAGGCUCUUUUGCGUCACUGAUGGAUGGACCCGCGGGUCAUUAGCUAGUUGGUGGGGUAACGGCCUACCGACGCUGCGAUGCAUCGCCGACCUGAGAGGGUGAUCGGCCACACUGGGAAUGAGACAAGGCCCAGACUCCUAAGGGAGGCAGCAGUAGGGAAUCUUCGGCAAUGGACGCAAGUCUGACCGCGCAAAGCCGCGUGAGUGAAGAAGGUUUUCGGAUCGUAAAACUAUGUUGUUAGAGAAGAACAAGGAUGGGAGUGGAAAGUUCAUCCCUUGACGGUAUCUAAACAGAAAGCAACGGCUAACUACGUG